ACGGGUGAGUAAUACAUCGGAACGUAUCCUGGAGUGGGGGAUAGCCCGGCGAAAGCCGGAUUAAUACCGCAUACGCUCUGAGGAGGAAAGCGGGGGACCUUCGGGCCUCGCGCUCAAGGGGCGGCCGAUGGCGGAUUAGGUAGUUGGUGGGGUAAAGGCCUGCCAGGCCGACGAUCCGUAGCUGGUCUGAGAGGACGACCAGCCACACUGGGACUGAGACACGGCCCAGACUCCUACGGGAGGCAGCAGUGGGGAAUUUUGGACAAUGGGGGCAACCCUGAUCCAGCAAUGCCGCGUGUGUGAAGAAGGCCUUCGGGUUGUAAAGCACUUUUGUCCGGAAAGAAAUCAUCGGGGCCAAUACCCCUGGUGGAUGACGGUACCGGAAGAAUAAGCACCGGCUAACUACGUGCCAGCAGCCGCGGUAAUACGUAGGGUGCGAGCGUUAAUCGGAAUUACUGGGCGUAAAGCGUGCGCAGGCGGUGCUGUAAGACCGAUGUGAAAUCCCCGGGCCUAACCUGGGAACUGCAUUGGUGACUGCAGCGCUGGAGUAUGGCAGAGGGGGGUGGAAUUCCACGU
rnacentral:rRNA from 1 species